rnacentral:rRNA from 1 species
GUACACACCGCCCGUCGCUCCUACCGAUUGGGUGUGCUGGUGAAGCGCUCGGAUUGGUCUCUCGUCUGCGGUUCGCCGCAGCCUGCGACCGAGAAGUUCGUUGAACCCUCCCACCUAGAGGAAGGAGAAGUCGUAACAAGGUUUCCGUAGGUGAACCUGCAGAAGGAUCA